UGGAAAGCAGGCUGUAACCGGCAUGGACUGCAGGAAUAGCCAGACCCAUGAGAAAGGUGAGCAGGAGGCAUGCCCGGAGCCACGGGAAAGUUCUUCUGUGUGACCGGCAUGAUUACUGCGUGGAAGUGAUCCUUCAGCCUGACAGUAUACACGGUCAUGAUUUAUACAGCUUUCCAGCGGUGGUGAAAAGAAGACUUAAAAAGAUAAGAAGGAAAGCCCUGGAGUUUGUGUGAUGUGCCUGUAUACCAAGCUGCGCUUGUGAGUACAAUCACGCGGGAACGGUUGCUGGUGAUUUAUAGUACUUCACUAUUUGCGUAUUUUCUGACAUCCCACAGGAGCCCUGGAUCGGUGAUAGUGGGACCUGAUAAAUUGCUUAUGUUUCCGUAAUUGGAUGUGUCAAGUUUGAAGAAGGUUUAUUCUUCUGGAUAGGGAACGCGCGGUCCCUCAAAAACACAUGUACUGAACUGUGACUUGUACCCACUUCACUCUUGGGAAUCGCUGCGACAUACCAUUGACUACGUAUUGGAGCUACUAUUGUUUUUUUUUUUUUACUAUUUUGUGUAUGACUGGAGGCUGGCAGGCGCGCGCUGGCUCCAGACUCUUCCAGUAUAUUCCUCUCCUAUCAUUUAUGUGGUAACACUUUCUGAUUGCAAGGCUUCACUUCUGUGUUAAAACCUAUUCCCCCAAACACUGCCCCCCGACAUGUUUCACCAGCUGCUAUGGCGUCUUCAGGGGAUCGGGCAGUAUAUGCUUGAUGGGCGUGGCUGGAUCUUUUAAGCACUCUUAUUAUUGCGUCAUCUUCAGUAACCUAUCGCCUCCCGUGAUAAAUCCACCUCGGGGUGUAUUGUUUAAUAUCUCCUCACUUACUGGUGCU